GCCUUAGCCAGCGCCAGGCCGCAGCAGCCCCGGGGAAGGGGUGCGAGAGGCCUCGGCCAGCCGUCGUGCCCUCCUCCCACCCGUAGCCCCGCGAUCACAUCCAAGUGGCGGAAGGAAGACGAGGAUAAAAAAGACCGAGGCGGCAGCGGAGUCUUCCGCGUACCGCUGCCUCGCCUACCCCUGAGCUGGGCUGGUCCCGCCCUCCCCCCAUUCCACGCACUCCCCUGCCCUGGACCUCGUCGGCCUCCGUCCGUCUCCCCAGGUGAACGCAUAUCCCUCCGCUGCGGCCGCCCCUGCCGCUGGGUUCGUAGCCUCACAGUCCCCGGAUGGAAGCUGUUAUGGCCGCCAACAGCGACUCGACGGCUUAUGGCGAAGGGCGAGAACUUUUUUCAAUAUUUCUCCCGACUGUGGCCUUUUCUGAGCCUUACAUAUUUACCUCUUCUGUGUAUGUGGAAAAGCGUUAAAAAGGCUGAAGAAUUGAAGUCUUUUCUUUAUGUGUAAGUGUGGUUUCUUCUUUGAUAAUGUACAUUUAAAAAUCCUUAUGAUUUUUUUUUUUUUGCUAGUUGUUUGUUUCUAGUAACUAUUUUAAUUUAUUGUGCUGCAGGUGCUUGUUGAUAGUUGCAAGCUACCCAAUAAUAACAGAUAGAAAUUGUAAAUUGUGUGGUUAAUUAGUUAAAGGAGAUCUCUAAUCAGAUUUGAAUGCACCCAACUGAGACUCUUUGCCAAACAUAAAUGUUUUAGUGAAAUGUUGCCCAGUUGGACCACAUUGACCUCAUGUUAAAAGUCUGAGGCUUGUUCACACUAACACUUGAUCCACUUCUGUUUUUCAUAGUGUUAACUGCAUGCAUAUUUUAGAUUUCGGUAUUUAACAUUAUGACAUUUUAACCUGAAUGAUAGGCAGCUACCAUCAAUUCUGUGAUGUAUUGCAUCAUGCAACCUGUAAUAUUCAUGCAUUGUGUCUGUAUUAAAGAAGUUCUUCAAGCAAAGAAGUUCUAGUUACUUAUUCUUUUAUGUGGGGUUCAGCUUGCUCCUGGUCAAAUGAGAGAUUUGCUAUUGACAAGAGAAAGUAUUGCAAUAUAGUACUCUUGGUGAAAAUGGAAUGUAACAUAGAGUUGUGCCCUUCUGAAGUGUUUUAGUUUGGAAAGAUUCCCAAGGACUGUGUGCGUUUAUGUGUCUGUGGUUUGUGGUGGUGUUGGUUUGUUUUGAUUGCUUAGUUUUCUGGGGCCACAGUUGAAUGUCAGAUGUCUUGCAUGUCUCAUAGCUGGAGCAUACAGUUCAUAGAAUCAUCACAGAAUCAUAGAAUACUAGAUUGAAAGGGACCUUAGGAAUCAUGUGGUCCAGGCUUUCUUGGCAAAGCAUGAUACAAAAUAGAUGGCCCAGCAAUCUGUCCAGCUGAAUCCAGUGCUGGGGAGUCCACCGUUUUGCUGGAGAAGUU
rnacentral:lncRNA from 1 species